rnacentral:RNase_P_RNA from 1 species
CCAGAGGGUCGGGCAGCCGCGGCCCCGUUGCAAAACGGGGGCGAGGAAAGUCCGGGCUCCACGAAACAGGGAUGCCGGGUAACGCCCGGCGGGGGCGACCCCAGGGACAGUGCAACAGAAAGCAGGUUGCCUUGGGCUUCGGCCCGGUAACAGUGAAAGGGUGCGGUAAGAGCGCACCGCGCGACCGGCAACGGAUCGCGGCACGGUAAACCCCAUCCGGAGCAAGACCGAAUAGGGGCGGAUUUGGCGAUACGGUUUCUGCUUGCAGAGGCGCGUCCCAGGGGAGUUUCGGCCCCUUGCCGCCCGGGUUGGUUGCUUGAGCGGUGCAGCAAUGCCCUGCCUAGAGGAAUGGCUGCCCAUGACCGGCAACGGUCAGGACAGAACCCGGCUUACAGACCCUCUGGCGAU